GUCCAGCAGGAAGAGACUAAGGUGAAUCCUAAGGGAAUUCUUCUCCCACCUUCAAGCUGGGGAGAGCCUGCCCUGGUCCUCGUCCGCUCUCUUGGCUUGGCUGUUCCCAUGUACAGGAUAUUUGUAAGUUGGGCGUUUCUCGGUCACCUGUAUUUACUUGUGUGAUACAGAUGUUUAUUUUAACAUAGUAGCUGUUUAUCCAGGUAAAAUUACAUUAUAAUUUAAGGUUUAGUUUUGCUUUAAAAACUUUUUCUUCAUUUUGACUAAUUUCAGCCCUGAUUAUGUUCUUGUGCUUCUUUAAUGGGUUAAAGGCAUUAUUUUUAUGCAAAUGGAAAGGGUGUGUAUGGUUGCAGUAAAACAUUCCGUUUUCUGGUUGUUAUUAGGAGGAAAUGAGAGAAGUGGGUGGGGCAGUGUGGUGCGCGCGCGUGCACGUGCGUGUGUGUGUGUGUGUGUGUGUGUGUGUGUGUGUGAUUUGAAUUUGACCAAAGUUAUGUAAUUUGAAAAUGACCCAGAGGUGUGUUGUUCAAACCAAUAUAUGCUUUAAGAUAUCAAAAAUUGUGUUUGUACUCAAGAGAGUUCUUUUUCACUAGUGUAUUUGGAAAUAUUUCAGGCCAUUUUUUAAAGCAGAAGUUAUAGACCUAAAUCUUUGAAGGUUUUUUCUCCCCUGGGAGCUCUUUGAAUAUAUAAAAAGUUUUUAAGGAUUUUUAAAGGCUAGAUGGCAGCAAGUAAAUUCUUUUCUGCUCAUCCUAAGUAAAUAUCUCUGUGAUGUAGGUGCGUCAUCAAAGUUAUCUUAUGAGGUGCCUGUGACCCAAAGGGAAAAUAAUUUGUUUAGUAACUUGAUUUUCUUCCUUUUUUAUGAUUCACAAGUUGUCAAAUUCAUACUGUUUGGGGCAUUAUAAAUGUGGGAACUUGCAAAUGAGUAACAAAUUUACGGUGUAAAUCAACUGAAACGUAUAUGAAGUCCUGCUGGAUUCUUAGGAGGUCUCUUGGUGUUUCUGAACCACACUUCUCUUUUCUAGGAUUCUGUUUCAAGACACAGUCAUAAAUGCAAAAGGAAGAUCUCAGCACCCAGUUACAUUCAUCUUUAUAAUUUUGGGCCCCUUCAGCCCCUCCCAAACAUUGGAAGGCUAUCUGGAGUUGGAAUUGCUGAGACAAGGAAAGCUUUUCUUCCAGAGGGUUUUUUAAGGAAAAAUUAUACUUUAAGGUUAUGAGUAUAGAAUUACAACACAGACAACUCAUAAUACUUAAUAAGCCUCUCUAGAUCAAUCUAGAUUAUCUCUAAAAUGUCUAUUUCACCCAGCCCCAUAAUUACAUACUUGGGGAAGUAAAAUUGAGUGUACAGAGUUUUCAGAGUGGCAGAUCUAUUUGGAAUCAUUCUAACCCAAUUGUUCAUUUUGUAGGAAAGGGAACUGGAGACCAGAGGGAUUUGGGGACUUGAAUAAGGCUGCUGUUACUGAGGGCAGAGCUAGGAGUGUGAUGGCAAGCAACAGUGAGAGUGUCUGUCACCUAUUAAAGGCCCUCUAUUUCCUGGGUUUACUUACAUCUUUUCAUUUCACCCUCACAACAAUUUUGCAAGGCAUGGAUCAUAUUCCAGUUUUUAAAAUGACAAAACUGAAACGUGGGAGGUUCUCUAACUGCGCAAAGUCAAUAGGCAUUAGGAGGCAGAGCAGGAAGUCAAAUGCACACCCCCUGAUUCUGAAGGUCUGGCGUCUCCUGGCUCGAGCUGUUUUCCACUGUACCAGGUUGGCUCCCAGGCCUCAGUAUAGCCUGAAAUCCAAGCAGCAUUCAUUUGUUAUACAUGUUUACAGGCAUAACUCAUCUUAUUGUGCCUCAUUGUAGCACACUUCACAGAUAAUGCAUUUUUUACAAACUGAAGUUCUGGCACCCCUGCGUCGAGCAAGUCUUUCUGCACCAUUUUUCCAAAACCAUUUGCUCACUUUGUGUCUCUGUGUCACAUUUCGGUAAUUCUCACAAUAUUUCAAACGUUUUCAUUAUUAUUAUAUUUGUGAUGGUGGUCUGUGAUCGGUGAGCUUUGAUGUUACUACUAUGACCUGCUGAAGGCUCAAGUGAUGGUUAGCACUUUUUAGCAAUAUUUUAAUAAAGAUAGGUACAUUUUUAGAUGUAAUGCCAUUGCUCACUUAAUAGGCUGCAUCAUAUAGUGUCAACAUAACAUUUAUACGUACUGGGAAACCAAAAACUUCGUGCGACUCACUUUAUUGCAAUAUUUGUUUCAUUGCGGUGGUCUGGAGCCACAUCCACAAUGUCUCUGAGGUAUCCCUGUAUAGGUGUUAUGUCGAGAGCAUCUUUAUCUAAGCAACCACUGGGUUACUGAAUUUAAUGGGUAGUAGUCUGGGGUAUUGGGUCUCCUUGCCUUAGUUUUUCUGACAAAAAUGAUUAUUCCUCUCCAACUAGAUUCAAUAAUAUUCCAAAAUUUGUCUUCAAUUAAUACCUCCUUUUCUUCUUUGGAAAAUACAUACUUUGAAAUGUCUAACUCCUUUAUUUAGAUUUAAAGAAGAGUACAGUCCUUUCUCUCAUUCAGUGAUUCAUCCGUUUAUUCAUUUAUUCAUUCAAUAACUAUGUAUCGAAUGUCUACUCUGAGCAGACACUAUUCUAGGUUUUGGAGACACUGCUCUGAGCAAAACAGACGCAUCCCUGCCCUGCUGUUACUUUAUCCUACUGUGUCAGGAGAUAGCCAAUAAAUAGCAGAAAAUAAAGUAAGUGAGAUGGUGAUAAAUGUCCU
ensembl:lncRNA